UCGACCUUCAUUUUGAUCCUUGUUUCUGCUUGUGAAUUAUACAUCAUUGAGAGUAGAAUGUCGAUAAUAUAAGCCAUCUCUGUUUUUCAACCUAUUUUGAGUUAAUGAAGUCUUUGUUUGACAUUCCCUCGUGUCUCAUUGUCUUAAGUUUGAUUCAUUUCCCUUCCAAGUAAAAGUAUUGAGAAGCAUGAGUUUUGUGGGGAUUUGUAAUUGUUCUUUCUAUUUAUUUUCCAUUAAUGACUGUACUUUCAUCAUGUUGAGCAAAUUUCACUUGCAAACAGGUCGACAAGCGUAGUUACGAUAAAUGCAUGCAGCUGUAUGAAAAAGAGCUUCUGACAGAGAAUUCAUAUCUCUAUAUAUAUGGGUUGCAGGGGACUGAAUUGAAUGCUCAGCAGCUUGGCCUUUGUCAAUGGUGAGAUGUUGUUGCCCGUACAGAGGAUGAAGUUACUGGUUAUAUUUCGCCUAACAAAACUCUUCUUGAAAUUAGUAAAAAACUGCUCCAAUUUUCCGUUUAACUUAAAUUAUAUCUUUGUUAUUUAUAACACUCAUUCAUUGAGUUUUGACCUGAUUCACAUUUUUUCUUUCUGGUGAUAAAAGCCAAACAGAUGCCUAUUACUCCUAGCAAGUCAUGCCGAUUAUUGAAAUCGAAGCAUCCAUAUAUUGAGCGUAAUCUUGGCUCGUUAGUUAGCAUUAUUAGGGAUUCUCAGAAUGCUACUGCUUUUGAAGCCGUUGCUCAACAGUUAAAAGAGGGACAAAUGGAAGUCGUAAGACUUGCAUAAACUAGUUUCAUGACAGUAAUCUAGUGGUGACUUGGUAUUGAGCUGUUUCAGUGAAUCUUACCCUUCUCAGCCUUGAAUGGAU